UUACGGCUCAGUAACACGUAGGUAACCUACCCUCAGGACUGAGAUAACCCCGGGAAACUGGGGCUAAUAUUAGAUAGAUAAAAGAUACUGGAAUGUUCUUUUAUCCAAAGCUUUUGCGCCUGAGGAUGGGCCUGCGUCCGAUUAGGUUGUUGGUGGGGUAAUGGCCCACCAAGCCUACGAUCAGUACGGGCAGUGAGAGCUGAAGCCCGGAGUUGGGGACUGAGACAAGGCCCCAGGCCCUACGGGGCGCAGCAGGCGCGAAACCUCUGCAAUGCGGGAAACCGUGACAGGGGGAUCCCAAGUGCUCAUGCAUUGCAUGGGCUGUUCUUUGGUCUAAGUAACCAGAGGAGUAAGGGCUGGGCAAGACCGGUGCCAGCCGCCGCGGUAAUACCGGCAGCUCAAGUGGUAGCCGCGAUUAUUGGGCCUAAAGCGUUCGUAGCCGGAUAAGUAAGUCUUUGGUUAAAUCCUGCGACUUAACCGUGGGAAAUCUAGAGAUACUGCUUGUCUUGAGACCGGGAGAGGUUGGAGGUACUCCCAGGGUAGGGGUGAAAUCCUGUAAUCCUGGGGGGACCACCUGUGGCGAAGGCGUCCAACUGGAACGGGUCUGACGGUGAGGGACGAAACCUAGGGGAGCGAGCCGGAUUAGAUACCCGGGUAGUCCUAGGCGUAAAUGAUGCGAGUUAAGUGUGGGGGCAUCUACGAGAUGGCCCUGUGCUGUAGGGUAGCC
rnacentral:rRNA from 1 species